rnacentral:pre_miRNA from 1 species
AAUAAACGAAUUUCUGAGUUUUUUUUAUAGAAUUCUUGCCUCUUCGUCUUAUUUAAAUUUUUUUAAGAUUAAUAUUUUUAUUGUUAUCAUAUGAUAAAACAUAAGUAGUACUUUACGUGUGACUAUUUUUUUCAAUAUUUUCAUAAAUUUUUUAAAUAGGAUGGAUGGUCAAACGUCAAACCUAGAAAACUCAGA